GAAUGUUUGUACAAUUCUUCUUCAUCUAUAAGAAUUAACAAACCACAACUAAUCUUCAUGGAUUUUUUAUGGUGGAGCAGGAGAAUUAGACGAAGCUUCAUUACCGCCAUCAACUGGCUCAUUGCAACGAUCUUCCUGUCUGAGCAUAUAAAAUAUCGAUCGCCGACCAUGCGAAAUUAUCACACGUUGCAUUUGCCUCCAUUAUUGUUGCCUCAGCCAAGGCCUGCUCACCAGCAUCUGCACCAUUUUACACCAAGUAUUGUGCUUCAAUUAGGCCAUGACAGAAUUUUGGUCGGCAGCUACUUGGAGGAGGAAUGAAGGGGACAAAUGUAUCGUGCGUUCAUAGAGGUGCUGAUCAGGAACAACAAAGGAGUUCUGACUUGAUGAUUGGUCGACAUAUGUUGAGGCAGGAACAACAACAGGGUUCUGACUCGAUUGGCACAAAAAUGUUGGCUCAUUGUGUUGAUAAAGUCGUUGCUCAGGAACGACAAGAGGAUAGUUCUGUCUUGAUGAACCAACAAAUGUUGGCUCAUUAUUGAUUUCAUUCCCCUUUACACCAUUGCUUGAUGCUACAAAUAAAUAUAUAUAGUGGUAUAAAAUUGAAGAAAUGGUGUAUUAGUGGUAUAGAAUUGAAGAAAUUGAAGAAAUGGUAUAAAAAAUCUAUGAUUUUGGAAUAUAAAAAAUCAUCUGUUCUUGGCAGAGGGAUUCUAACCUCGAAGGCGACUUGACUGCCAAAUUCUACUAUGGCAUGAAGAAGUUGGUGUGGGAGUUUCUCAAUGGGCCUUUGAAGAGCAAAAUGGAAGUUUGUUGGUCUGACAACAUCACUGCUAUUGAGGCGGUUAUGAACCCUAAUCAACCCGGAUUUCUUCGAAUUGAGUAGGCUAAGCCUCCUCUCUUCUUCCGUGAAAUCCCUCCUCAACCACGAAAGCGUACUACUUGGGAGCCGGCUGAUGAUUUCACUAAUGGGCAAGCCCAAUUUUGCCGGAGCGCUUGAUAAGCACCACGAGAAGCUUCUGAUAAGCAAUGCGCGUCUGGCUGAGCUCAGUCGCAGGCCCUUCCCGACCAAUGAAUCUGUUUUUCCCUUGCAACAGCAGCUCUCCACAAAUGAAGCUUCAUCUGUUUCUUUUG